rnacentral:lncRNA from 1 species
GGUGGAAAACAGAGCAUUGUAAAGUGAUUUCUUUAAAACUUUGUCAGACUCCUAAGAAAUGUACAGGCUGAUGCGAGUGUACAUUACU